GGGUGGGUACGGUAUGCUGCGCAGUCCCGGUCAGUCCUAGGCGAGCCAGGUUAGCCGGGAAGAAGCUCUCAAGCAGUGUUCCAGGGCCUCCGUGUCGCUGCAACCUACUUCCGAUUUCAAAUGGGAAAUGAAGUCUAGGAGCCCCUUCCUUAAGCGGUUCCCGGAAAUUUCAGGCCCGUGAGGUGGGAGAAGCCAGAGCUCCUUACUUCGUGGUUCUGAAGUGAAGUCUGAUCUUAACGGCGUCGUUAGGUUUUUCACCGCUUAAAAGAGUUUGCAGUGCCCUUUCAAAGAUCUGUGCCCGCUCGCAUUAGUUGCCUACUUAUUUUGGGCAGUCUUGUGCCUGCCCCCCUGGGGUAAGGCGGGAACAAAUGAGAGAAGGGGGUUAGUGGAAGACCUCUGAGAAGCUCCGAUUCUUGUCCCGUGGUUGAAUAGGCAGGCAAGUCACCAUCUUUCCAAAAUCUAUUUCCUCGUGAGUGAAACAGAGAUCAAGGACGUCUGCAAAGUUAGCUAUGGGAACUGGAAUCCAGGCUAAAUUCCUGCCAGGUACAGCAGGCCUGAGUCUCUCCAACCUGUGUCACGUUGAUCACUUUACAACGUUCAGAUGUGGGAUUCCUUUCCCCUGGAACACUUUCAUUUCCGGUUUCCGUUGGAAGACAAGUCUCCACAGGUCUCGUGUUUCUGUAUGCCACCCAGAGACACUGCCUUUUUUGGACUGUCUUUUCAAGGACGUUUCUAUGAUGAACAGCCUCGGAAGGCAGAGAUAAUGUCUCCCUCCAGGCAAAGAUCUGGCCAUCUUACUCUUCAUUAUAAAAGAUUUGGGUUCCCUAAGCUUCCUCCUGUGGCCCACAUCAUGUAGGCUUUUGGGAAUUAAGGCUCAGGAAACUGGCCCAAAUGACUAUAAUCUGACUAUUGCCAUUGCUGUUAGUAAUAAACUGUCCUUUGACUCAAGAGUUCAUCUACCAGCAUUCCUGAAACUGUGGCAUGCUAACUUGUGUUGACUAGAAAGAAAAAAAAAAAAGCACAACUUAAAAGCUGAGAAUUACGUCUUAUUUGGCGGACAAAACAGAGGACUUAAGCUCUGAGGGACUGCUUGCUCCAAAGAGGACCCAGUGAGAAUGUAGUUCAUGGAUUUGGCCACAGGAAGGCAGCAUACACAAACUCACCUUUUCUUAAACCAGUCUGAAGUCGCCUUGCUCUUGAGUUCCCACUGUCAUCACCUGGCAUCAGACUCUCCACGAUUCACGCAGGUCCCCAACCUUCACGCUGCUGGACUUUCAUCACCUCAUUCCCGUGCACAGGAAGACAGAUGGGCCACCUGCUUGCUGACACCCUCUGACAAUCUUCUUCACAGAGUGGUCGACCCUGGCAUUACCUGGUGCUGAGAACAUGGCUGAUCGAUGGACGGGAUGAACAAGGCAGAGCUCCAG